UAUGCUCCUAUGAUUAAAUGUGCUGGAUUUUUCUGCUGGUAAUGGCACAGUUGGUGGUUUCAUGUUGUGUAUCUCCAGUACAGGCAUUCAGUGUAUUAAAUGGCAAACUCAUAAAUCCAGACUGGGAUCUUCAAGUAGGUAUCACCAGUAAGGUUGGGUAGCUCAAGAGACUGUCUUACUCUUCACACACUUGUCUUGAAAUUAUGUGUUGGAGGACACAAUUAUCUUUUUUUUUUUCUUACCAUGGCUAUGCUGAGCUAAGACCACGUUUUAGUAGCAAUUCCAUUCACAGUUGAAGGAAGAUAUACAGAAUCCAUGUCUUCCUCCCUUAGUCAUGCUGGUUCUGCAGCAAGAUCGGUGAAAAUUAAUUUUCCUUGCCAAACAUUUAUUCAGAUAUAGCAUAUUUAUGCAGUGUUCAUAGUGCCACAUAAUAGACACCUCGGAUUGGUGUGCCUUAUGUGCCUAGGGCAUGGCAAGAGCCUAUCGGAUGCCUAACUACUUAUUUUAGCAGCAAUACUAGCUUAAGCAACCCCUACACCCUCCCAGUUGUUCCUGUCCCUCAGCUAUAACUAUGUGAAGCCAUUCAGUGCAUGAGAUUAGGACCCUGAGCUGGGAUCAAAAUAGCCAUCAAGAAGAGAUGGUCUUUAAUGCAGAUCAGUUCCUUAAUGUACUUCUUUCUGUGUCCACAGACAGUUGUACUGAGACAGCACCAGAAGCCUGGGAAUGAAUGACAUCUUCUUUCAUCUUUCUUUCAUCUUUCUUUCUUUCUUUCUUUCUUUCUUUCUUUCUUUCUAUUUCUUUCAUAUUUUCUUCCUUUCUUCCUUUCUUCCUUUCUUCCUUUCUUCCUUUCUUCCUUUCUCUCUUUCUCUCUUUCUCUCUUUCAUAGUAAGAGGACAGGGACAGGACUUGGUUUUCAAUAUUUACCAUGAGUUUUCAAUUGAUGUUUCUUGUUUGGUUGGUUUUUUUCCAGAUAGUGAACUCAUCCUUAUAAUAGUGGGUACAGUGUUUGGAGCCAUUAUCCUGAGUUUAGUGAUAGCAGUCUCUAUUGUUUCAGUAAGAGCCCAACGCAAACAAGAUCCAGAGAAGAAAAGACUGAUAAAGUCAGGAAAUUCCAACUCAAAUACCUCUGAUGACAGACAGACCAUGAUGUUCCCCAGAGUCCAGACCACUUCUGGCCAUGGAAACCCAGGAUAUCAGCC
rnacentral:lncRNA from 1 species